CAGAGUGGAUCCUGAGUACGGCGGAACACGUGAAAUUCCGUCGGAAUCCGGGAGGACCAUCUCCCAAGGCUAAAUACUCCCUAGUGACCGAUAGUGAACCAGUACCGUGAGGGAAAGGUGAAAAGCACCCCGGAAGGGGAGUGAAACAGUUCCUGAAACCGUGUGCCUACAAGUAGUUAGAGCCCGUUAAUGGGUGAUAGCGUGCCUUUUGUAGAAUGAACCGGCGAGUUACGAUUUGUUGCAAGGUUAAGCGGAAAAAGCGGAGCCGUAGCGAAAGCGAGUCUGAAUAGGGCGCAUAAGUAACAGGUCGUAGACCCGAAACCAGGUGAUCUACCCAUGUCCAGGAUGAAGGUAAGGUAAUACUUACUGGAGGUCCGAACCCACGCACGUUGAAAAGUGCGGGGAUGAGGUGUGGGUAGCGGAGAAAUUCCAAUCGAACUUGGAGAUAGCUGGUUCUCUCCGAAAUAGCUUUAGGGCUAGCCUCGAGGUAAAGAGUCAUGGAGGUAGAGCACUGUUUGGACUAGGGGCCCUUCUCGGGUUACCGAAUUCAGAUAAACUCCGAAUGCCAUGUACUUAUACUCGGGAGUCAGACUGCGAGUGAUAAGAUCCGUAGUCGAAAGGGAAACAGCCCAGACCACCAGUUAAGGUCCCCAAAUAUAUGUUAAGUGGAAAAGGAUGUGGGGUUGCUUAGACAACCAGGAUGUUGGCUUAGAAGCAGCCACCAUUGAAAGAGUGCGUAAUAGCUCACUGGUCGAGUGACCCCGCGCCGAAAAUGUACCGGGGCUAAACAUAUUACCGAAACUGUGGAUGAACCUCUUUAGAGGUUCGUGGUAGGAGAGCGUUCUAAGGGCGGUGAAGUCAGACCGGAAGGACUGGUGGAGCGCUUAGAAGUGAGAAUGCCGGUAUGAGUAGCGAAAGAAGGGUGAGAAUCCCUUCCACCGAAUAUCUAAGGUUUCCUGAGGAAGGCUCGUCCGCUCAGGGUUAGUCGGGACCUAAGCCGAGGCCGAUAGGCGUAGGCGAUGGACAACAGGUAGAGAUUCCUGUACCAGUGCUAAUUGUUUAACCGAUGGGGUGACACAGAAGGAUAGGGAAUCGCACGAAUGGAAAUGUGCGUCCAAGCAGUGAGUGUGAGAAGUAGGCAAAUCCGCUUCUCGCGAAGCAUGAGCUGUGAUGGGGAAGGAAAUUAAGUACGGAAGUUCCUGAUUUCACGCUGUCAAGAAAAGCCUCUAGGAAGAGUAGUACUGCCCGUACCGCAAACCGACACAGGUAGAUGAGGAGAGAAUCCUAAGGUGAGCGAGAGAACUCUCGUUAAGGAACUCGGCAAAAUGACCCCGUAACUUCGGGAGAAGGGGUGCUCUAUUAGGGUGCAAGCCCGAGAGAGCCGCAGUGAAUAGGCCCAGGCGACUGUUUAGCAAAAACACAGGUCUCUGCAAAACCGUAAGGUGACGUAUAGGGGCUGACGCCUGCCCGGUGCUGGAAGGUUAAGAGGAGUGCUUAGCUUCGGCGAAGGUACGAAUUGAAGCCCCAGUAAACGGCGGCCGUAACUAUAACGGUCCUAAGGUAGCGAAAUUCCUUGUCGGGUAAGUUCCGACCCGCACGAAAGGCGCAACGAUCUGGGCACUGUCUCAACGAGAGACUCGGUGAAAUUAUAGUACCUGUGAAGAUGCAGGUUACCCGCGACAGGACGGAAAGACCCCGUGGAGCUUUACUGCAACCUGAUAUGGAAUGUUUGUACCGCUUGUACAGGAUAGGUAGGAGCCGAAGAGACGUGUGCGCUAGCAUACGAGGAGGCAAUGGUGGGAUACUACCCUGGCUGUAUGACCAUUCUAACCCGCCACGCUUAGCGCGUGGGGAGACAGUGUCAGGUGGGCAGUUUGACUGGGGCGGUCGCCUCCUAAAGAGUAACGGAGGCGCCCAAAGGUUCCCUCAGAAUGGAUGGAAAUCAUUCGCAGAGUGUAAAGGCACAAGGGAGCUUGACUGCGAGACUGACAAGUCGAGCAGGGACGAAAGUCGGGCUUAGUGAUCCGGUGGUUCCGCAUGGAAGGGCCAUCGCUCAACGGAUAAAAGCUACCCCGGGGAUAACAGGCUUAUCUCCCCCAAGAGUCCACAUCGACGGGGAGGUUUGGCACCUCGAUGUCGGCUCGUCGCAUCCUGGGGCUGUAGUCGGUCCCAAGGGUUGGGCUGUUCGCCCAUUAAAGCGGCACGCGAGCUGGGUUCAGAACGUCGUGAGACAGUUCGGUCCCUAUCCGUCGCGGGCGCAGGAAAUUUGAGAGGAGCUGUCCUUAGUACGAGAGGACCGGGAUGGACACACCGCUGGUGUACCAGUUGUUCCGCCAGGAGCAUCGCUGGGUAGCUAUGUGUGGCAGGGAUAAACGCUGAAAGCAUCUAAGCGUGAAGCCCCCCUCAAGAUGAGAUUUCCCAUUUCUUCGGAAAGUAAGAUCCCUGAAAGAUGAUCAGGUAGAUAGGUUUGGAGUGGAAGUGUAGCGAUACAUGGAGCGGACAAAUACUAAUCGAUCGAGGACUUAACCAA
rnacentral:rRNA from 1 species